UACCUACGGGACGCAGCAGUGGGGAAUUUUGGACAAUGGGCGCAAGCCUGAUCCAGCUAUUCCGCGUGUGGGAUGACGGCCCUCGGGUUGUAAACCACUUUAGUAGAGAACGAAAAGGAGCUAUCGAAUAAAUAGCUCUGCUGACGGUACUCUAAGAAUAAGCACCGGCUAACUCCGUGCCAGCAGCCGCGGUAAUACGGAGGAUGCGAGCGUUAUCCGGAUUUAUUGGGUUUAAAGGGUGCGUAGGCGGACUGUCAAGUCAGCGGUAAAAUACGGGGGCUCAACCUCCGCCCGCCGUUGAAACU
rnacentral:rRNA from 1 species